UACAGAGGUGGCAAGCGUUGUUCGGAAUUACUGGGCGGAAAGGGCGCGUAGGCGGCUUGGUCAGUCCCGUGUGAAAUCCCUCGGCUCAACCAAGGAAGUGCAUCCGAAACUGCUGAGCUUGAGUACUUAAGAGGAUCGCGGAAUUCCCGGUGUAGAGGUGAAAUUCGUAGAUAUCGGGAGGAACACCAGUGGCGAAGGCGGCGAUCUGGGAAGAUACUGACGCUGAGGUGCGAAAGCGUGGGGAGCAAACAGG
rnacentral:rRNA from 1 species